rnacentral:rRNA from 1 species
CACGGAGGGUGCAAGCGUUAUUCGGAAUUAUUGGGCGUAAAGGGCGCGUAGGCGGCCGAUCAGGUCAGAUGUGAAAGCCCGGGGCUUAACCCCGGAAGUGCAUUUGAAACCGGUUGGCUUGAGUAUGGGAGAGGAGAGCGGAAUUCCUGGUGUAGAGGUGAAAUUCGUAGAUAUCAGGAGGAACACCGGUGGCGAAGGCGGCUCUCUGGACCAAUACUGACGCUGAGGCGCGAAGGCGUGGGUAGCAAACAGG